UGGGGAAUAUUGCACAAUGGGCGAAAGCCUGAUGCAGCAACGCCGCGUGAGUGAUGAAGGCCUUCGGGUUGUAAAGCUCUGUCUUUUGGGACGAUAAUGACGGUACCAAAGGAGGAAGCCACGGCUAACUACGUGCCAGCAGCCGCGGUAAUACGUAGGUGGCAAGCGUUGUCCGGAUUUACUGGGCGUAAAGGAUGCGUAGGCGGAUUUUUAAGUGAGAUGUGAAAACCCUAAGCUUAACUUGGGGACUGCAUUUCAUACUGGAAAAUCUAGAGUGCGGGAGAGGAGAAUGGAAUUCCUAGUGUAGCGGUGAAAUGCGUAGAGAUUAGGAAGAACACCAGUGGCGAAGGCGAUUCUCUGGACCGUAACUGACGCUGAGGCAUGAAAGCGUGGGUAGCAAACAGGAUUAGAUACCCUGGUAGUCCACGCCGUAAACGAUGAGUACUAGGUGUAGGAGGUAUCGACCCCCUUCUGUGCCGCAGUUAACACAAUAAGUACUCCGCCUGGGAAGUACGAUCGCAAGAUUAAAAACUCAAAUGAAUUGACGGGGUCAUAGCUG
rnacentral:rRNA from 1 species